UACGUAGGGGACUAGCGUUGUUCGGAAUUACUGGGCGUAAAGCGCACGUAGGCGGAUUUGUAAGUCAGGUGUGAAAUCCCGGGGCUCAACCUCGGAACUGCCUUUGAUACUGCAAAUCUCGAGUCCGGAAGAGGUGAGUGGAAUUCCUAGUGUAGAGGUGAAAUUCGUAGAUAUUAGGAAGAACACCAGUGGCGAAGGCGGCCUGCUGGGCUGUUGCUGACGCUGAGGCGCGACAGCGUGGGGAGCAAACAGG
rnacentral:rRNA from 1 species